GGCAAGGCAUAGGCAGUGGUCGGGAUAGCUCAGUUGGUAGAGCAGAGGACUGAAAUCUC
rnacentral:tRNA from 1 species